rnacentral:lncRNA from 1 species
AUGCUGAUGUUGAGGCUGAUGCUGAUGUUGAGGCUGAUGUUGAGGCUGAUGUUGAUGUUGAGGCUGAUGUUGAGGCUGAUGUUGAUGUUGAGGCUGAUGUUGAGGCUGAUGUUGAGGCUGAUGUUGAGGCUGAUGCUGAUGUUGAGGCUGAUGUUGAUGUUGAGGCUGAUGUUGAGGCUGAUGUUGAUGUUGAGUCUGAUGUUGAGGCUGAUGUUGAUGAUGUUGAUGCUGAUGUUGAGGCUGAUGUUGAGGCUGAUGCUGAUGUUGAGGCUGAUGCUGAUGUUGAGGCUGAUGUUGAGGCUGAUGCUGAUGUUGAGGCUGAUGUUGAUGCUGAUGUUGAGGCUGAUGCUGAUGUUGAGGCUGAUGUUGAUGUUGAGGCUGAUGUUGAGGCUGAUGUUGAUGUUGAGGCUGAUGUUGAGGCUGAUGUUGAUGAUGUUGAUGCUGAUGUUGAGGCUGAUGUUGAGGCUGAUGCUGAUGUUGAGGCUGAUGCUGAUGUUGAGGCUGAUGUUGAGGCUGAUGUUGAGGCUGAUGUUGAGGCUGAUGUUGAGGCUGAUGCUGAUGUUGAGGCUGAUGCUGAUGUUGAGGCUGAUGCUGAUGUUGAGGCUGAUGUUGAUGUUGAGGCUGAUGUUGAGGCUGAUGCUGAUGUUGAGGCUGAUGUUGAGGCUGAUGUUGAGGCUGAGGCUGAUGUUGAGGCUGAUGUUGAUGAUGUUGAUGCUGAUGUUGAGGCUGAUGUUGAGGCUGAUGUUGAUGAUGUUGAUGCUGAUGUUGAGGCUGAUGUUGAGGCUGAUGCUGAUGUUGAGGCUGAUGCUGAUGUUGAGGCUGAUGUUGAGGCUGAUGUUGAGGCUGAUGUUGAGGCUGAUGUUGAGGCUGAUGCUGAUGUUGAGGCUGAUGCUGAUGUUGAGGCUGAUGCUGAUGUUGAGGCUGAUGUUGAUGUUGAGGCUGAUGUUGAGGCUGAUGCUGAUGUUGAGGCUGAUGUUGAGGCUGAGGCUGAUGUUGAGGCUGAUGUUGAGGCUGAUGUUGAGGCUGAUGUUGAUGUUGAGGCUGAUGUUGAGGCUGAUGUUGAGGCUGAUGUUGAUGUUGAGGCUGAUGUUGAGGCUGAUUUUGAGGCUGAUGCUGAUGUUGAGGCUGAUGUUGAGGCUGAUGUUGAUGUUGAGGCUGAUGUUGAGGCUGAUUUUGAGUCUGAUGCUGAUGUUGAGGCUGAUGUUGAGGCUGAUGUUGAUGUUGAGGCUGAUGUUGAUGUUGAGGCUGAUGUUGAGGCUGAUGUUGAGGCUGAUGCUGAUGUUGAGGCUGAUGCUGAUGUUGAGGCUGAUGUUGAGGCUGAUGUUGAUGUUGAGGCUGAUGUUGAGGCUGAUGCUGAGGCUGAUGUUGAGGCUGAUGCUGAUGUUGAGGCUGAUGCUGAUGUUGAGGCUGAUGUUGAGGCUGAUGUUGAUGUUGAGGCUGAUGUUGAGGCUGAUGCUGAUGUUGAGGCUGAUGUUGAGGCUGAUGUUGAGGCUGAUGUUGAGGCUGAUGCUGAUGUUGAGGCUGAUGUUGAUGUUGAGGCUGAUGUUGAGGCUGAUGCUGAUGUUGAGGCUGAUGUUGAGGCUGAUGUUGAGGCUGAUGCUGAUGUUGAGGCUGAUGUUGAGGCUGAUGUUGAGGCUGAUGCUGAUGUUGAGGCUGAUGUUGAUGUUGAGGCUGAUGCUGAUGUUGAGGCUGAUGCUGAUGUUGAGGCUGAUGUUGAGGCUGAUGUUGAUGUUGAGGCUGAUGUUGAGGCUGAUGCUGAUGUUGAGGCUGAGGCUGAUGUUGAGGCUGAUGUUGAUGAUGUUGAUGCUGAUGUUGAGGCUGAUGCUGAUGUUGAGGCUGAUGUUGAUGUUGAGGCUGAUGCUGAUGUUGAGGCUGAUUUGUAGGCUGAUGUUGAUGUUGAGGCUGAUGUUGAUGUUGAGGCUGAUGCUGAUGUUGAGGCUGAUGUUGAUGUUGAUGUUGAGGCUGAUGCUGAUGUUGAGGCUGAUGCUGAUGUUGAGGCUGAUGCUGAUGUUGAGGCUGAUGUUGAGGCUGAUGUUGAUGUUGAGGCUGAUGUUGAGGCUGAUGUUGAGGCUGAUGCUGAUGUUGAGGCUGAUGCUGAUGUUGAGGCUGAUGUUGAUGUUGAGGCUGAUGUUGAGGCUGAUGUUGAGGCUGAUGCUGAUGUUGAGGCUGAUGUGA